CAAUAGCGUAUAUUAAAGUUGUUGCGGUUAAAAAGCUCGUAGUUGGAUUUCUGCUGAGGAUGACCGGUCCGCCCUCUGGGCAGGUAUCUGGCUCAGCCUUGGCAUCUUCCUGAAGAACGCAGCUGCACUUGACUGUGUGGUGCGGUAUUUAGGACAUUUACUUUGAGGAAAUUAGAGUGUUUCAAGCAAGCGCACGCCUUGAAUACAUUAGCAUGGAAUAAUAAGAUAGGACCUCGGUUCUAUUUUGUUGGUUUCUAGAACUGAGGUAAUGAUUGAUAGGGAUAGUUGGGGGCAUUCGUAUUUAACUGUCAGAGGUGAGAUUCUUGGAUUUGUUAAAGACGGACUACUGCGAAAGCAUUUGCCAAGGAUGUUUUCAUUGA
rnacentral:rRNA from 1 species